GAUGAACGCUGGCGGCGUGCCUAAUACAUGCAAGUCGAGCGAACAGAUGAGGAGCUUGCUCCUCUGACGUUAGCGGCGGACGGGUGAGUAACACGUGGAUAACCUACCUAUAAGACUGUGAUAACUACGGGAAACCGGAGCUAAUACCGGAUAAUAUAUUGAACCGCAUGGUUCAAUAGUGAAAGACGGUUUUGCUGUCACUUAUAGAUGGAUCCGCGCCGCAUUAGCUAGUUGGUAAGGUAACGGCUUACCAAGGCAACGAUGCGUAGCCGACCUGAGAGGGUGAUCGGCCACACUGGAACUGAGACACGGUCCAGACUCCUACGGGAGGCAGCAGUAGGGAAUCUUCCGCAAUGGGCGAAAGCCUGACGGAGCAACGCCGCGUGAGUGAUGAAGGUCUUCGGAUCGUAAAACUCUGUUAUUAGGGAAGAACAAAUGUGUAAGUAACUAUGCACGUCUUGACGGUACCUAAUCAGAAAGCCACGGCUAACUACGUG
rnacentral:rRNA from 1 species